GUGAGGAAUAUUGCGCAAUGGAGGCAACUCUGACGCAGCCAUGCCGCGUGCAGGAAGAAGGCGCUACGCGUUGUAAGCUGCUUUUAACCGGGAAGAAACCCCAGGACGUGUCCUGGGUUGACGGUACCGGAGGAAUAAGCACCGGCUAACUUCGUGCCAGCAGCCGCGGUAAUACGAAGGGUGCAAGCGUUAUCCGGAUUCAUUGGGUUUAAAGGGUGCGUAGGCGGAGCGUGAAGUCAGUGGUGAAAUCCUGCAGCUUAACUGUAGACUUGCCAGUGAUACUGGCGCUCUUGAGUGCGCUUGAAGUGGGCGGAAUGUGCCGUGUAGCGGUGAAAUGCUUAGAUAUGGCACAGAACACCAAUUGCGAAGGCAGCUCACUAAGGCGAUACUGACGCUGAGGCACGAAAGCGUGGGGAUCGAACAGGAUUAGAAACCCCAGUAGUCC
rnacentral:rRNA from 1 species